UAUUAAAAAAUUUAUUUAUUUUUACUAUUAAAAACUAGUAUGGUUGAUAGAAUAACCAAAUUGUGACACGUGACGUGUUAUGUGUACCUUAUGUUAACAUACAAAAACUAUUUUUUAACGGUAGAAAUAUAUGAAAAUUUUAACA
rfam:Gossypium hirsutum cultivar TM-1 chromosome 8, whole genome shotgun sequence